UGUCUCUACAAAAAAAAAAAAAGGCAUCAAUUAAAUGCCUUGCAGCCUUUUCCUGUCCUUAAAUUUGGUAUCUUUGGUACAGAGGCUGCAUAAGUAACAGUU